UGUGGCCAUGCAGAGUGGUGGCAUCGGCGGUACCGUGGGUAGGAAACGGCGGUUGCAGCGGGCGCCUCGGGCACCCUUACAGAGAAAGCAGCAGCUGAGAAUGCGAUUCCUUAUUGCUACAGGCAGCCCGGGAUCCCCGCCUCGACACCACGACUCUCCCGAUCGACUGCGGUGCUUUUUUUUUAUUUAACUCCGUUGAGCAUCCAGUCGCACGCGCCGCCGGCUCCGAAUACUCCACGCCGGGGACUUGGCGGUGGCGGUGGCAGUGCGCGCAGCAGUUUCAGCGCCGCGACUUGAACAUCGAAUAACAACAACAUCGAACAACAAUGAACAUGGAACCACAUGAAUAUCAAACAACACAAACAUCAAACAACUUGAACAUUGAACCACAUGAACAUCAAACAACAUGAACAUCGAACAACAAUGAACAUCGAACCACAUGAACAUCAAACAACACGAACAUCUAACAACACGAACAUCAAACAACAUGAACAUUGAACCACAUGAACAUCGAAACACAUAAACAUCAACAACAUGAACAUGGAAUCACAUGAACAUCAAACAACACGAACAUCAAACAACAUUAACAUGGAACCACAUGAACAUCAACAACAUGAACAUCAACAACAUGAACACGGAAUCACAUGAACAUCAAACAACACGAACAUCAAACAACAUGAACAUUGAACCACAUGAACAUCAAACAACACGAACAUCGAACAACAUGAACAUGGAAUCACAUGAACAUCAAACAACACGAACAUCAAACAACAUUAACAUUGAACCACAUGAACAUCAACAACAUGAACAUUGAACCACAUGAACAUCAAACAACAUGAACAUCAAACAACAUGAACAUUGAACCACAUGAACAUCAAACAACAUGAACAUGGAACCACAUGAACAUCAAACAACAUGAACAUCAACAACAUGAACAUGGAACCACAUGAACAUCAAACAACACGAACAUUAACAACAUGAACAUGAAAUCACAUGAACAUGGAACCACAUGAACGCGUUACACGUGAACGUGUGGAGGCGGCCCUGCAGAUGUUGCCUCGCGCCACCGCUUGCCGGAGGGAGACCUUCACUCGAGAAGAGCCCCCACCCCCCCUCCUUUAUCGGGGGGUAUUUGGCCUACUCUUCCACGCCGGUCAGACGGCUUGGAGGAGAGUCGGAAUGAGAAUCAGAAUAUUUAUUUGGAGGAAUCCGAUCAGCUAUGAAUCUGCUUUUGUCACAGAUGUCCAGCAGUUUUCACAAAAAACGUCCAGUAGUUGGAGUACCCACACUUUACCCCACCGCACGCAACCGAUCGAUCGACUGAUCGUGGUGGAGUUGUUUAUCCUCUUGGGUGGACAGUGAGAGGUUGCGGUGUGUGUGUGUGUGUGUGGGGGGGGGGGUUGGAUAAACUUGAAAGAAUGCUUCAACUACCACGACGGGAGAUCGAUCCGGCGACCUCUGGAUUGCAGGUGCAGCGUGCUCGACAUUGUAAUGCGAGUGGGAGCGCGCACAAGAGGGGAUUUCUGCCAUUGUGAUCAUAAUCUCGAUGCUUCCAGCAUGCCUUGCGUGUCACAAGAUAUCACCGUACCGCGUGUAUAAUGCACACCACCAGUCUUUAAAAAAAUAUACCCGUUAGCACUCCUCUGAAUGAGGAUUUUUUUCAUCAUUUACAUAAGGUUUUAGAAUUGGUUCAACGUAAUGCUAAAUAUCACCGUAGGAUGUUUCUGGCAUAUUCCACUGAGACAAAAACACAACGGUACUACAAUUGCCCAAAUGUAUCUGCUAUGAAGAAGGGCUAAUGCCCGAAACGUCGCCUGUUGUUGUGUUUUCCUUUCAGGGCAGUAUUUGAGAUGUUUUUUUUUUUUUAAACGUGAUUCUUUUUUGUUUACAAUUCUCUCUCGUUGCCGUUCACGAACGUGUCCGACAGUGAAAUGAAAGAUGGCAUUUAAAUCAUGGCCUGAAAUGUAAUCGUGGCACCACAUUUCAAUGAGGGCAUUGACCACCACUGGUAAUAACAAUAAUAUAUAUUUAAAAAAUAAACUUCGGACCUCCCGCGCACAUGCACCAAACGUGGAGUGGAAAUCGCCCUUUAGCGCACCUCCCUGCGAUACAGUAGCUAACCCUGCGGUGUUUGCUAAUCACUAUCAAACCGCACACGUGCCGUACGCACUGCGUCACGUCAAACCGUAUAUACGUCUCACGGUGGCGUCACCGGUAAACAACAACAGAAGCCGGUCAUGCCUUCUGUUGGACGUGUAAUCACACGUGUGUGGGUGUGUGGGUGGGUUUUUUGUGCUUUUUAUAAAGGGUAGACGUAUACGUUUUAGUCGAAGCUACCGAUGUUAUUUUAUACGAGAAUAUAUUUGUUAUUUGCAGUCCCUUGUCACACAUCCACUGCUGGAUGAAGGCCUCCCCAUACCGUGUCGGUCUUUUGGGGCGAGGGGCGGGUGGUGCUUGUUUGACCAUACUUCACCGCGUAGGUCAGUGCAAGUUGAUAUUAGAGAGGCGGGGGGGGGGCAACCCAAGACGGCAUUAAGAUAUCACUCGUCGUGGAUUUAAGUCGUGGCCUGCAAUCUCACUUCGACUGCACGGUUCUGUCCAAGCUGCAUCGAGGAAGCAUGCUAACCACUGCGCCACCCGCUCCACCUCCUCAAUAUCCUAUUUCAUACAUUAUUUUCAGUGACUGCAAUCGAUUUACGAACGCCGCGCGUGUGUGUGUCUGAUACAGUGAAAUAAUAGCCCGUGUGUCUAUACAUAUAUGAAGACCUCACCAUUUCUAUCAGAUCCGUUCCACGCGUCCGCACAAUUGCUAUGUUGUCUCUGAACGUGCUUGUGUUGUGCGAUCCGUGUGAUCUCCCUUCUGUCACUUGGUGCAAUCCCAAGCAUGCACCUUCGCCAUGCUUCUGCGCGCAAGUUUUGAGCUUUCAUUCCACCCUCCCUCCUCGUCAGAGUCCACUUUUCCGAUCCAGAUAAACGAGAGGAGCACAGCGUUUGCAUCCGUGCACUGCCCCUUACGGCAUGAAGAUCGCAUCCCUGUCAACCCAUACGGUUUGCCCGUAUUCUCUUGUCCAAGGAAAUUAAGUUUUUCGGUCCAUACAGUCGUUUCAAUACGGGCAAAAUGUAUGUGUCUAUUUGUUUGUGUUUCUCCCUUGUGACGGGACUUUGUGGGACGAACGUUGCGAGUUAUAAGGGGCACGGGGUGACCAAUACGCUCUGAAUUGGUCUGUAAUAAGGAACGCACUGAUUAGGGGUUGAGAGGCAUGAAGAUCGGUUCUCUUUUCAAUGUUCAAAUCACACUUGAACACGUCUUUGUUUACUGCUGCAGCGUUUGGAGCCGACUGCACGAAUGAGGCUGCAUGAAGUUGAAACUGUUGUCACUGUUACUGGCAUCAUCGCGCCCUGUACCUUCGCUGAUGUUGUAAGCGUGACUGUCAGCGGUCACGCUCACCCGGUCGCUGUUGUGUUCACCUCCAUACCCGUGGCCGUGUGGCGUGUUGUGUCGUGUUGUGUCUCUAUGAUGUUCGCGCUGGUCGUAUGGUGUUUGUGUGGUGUCUCGUACCAUUGCAGAUGGUGAUGUAGUUCGCAAUCUUCAGCAUUGUUUAGGGUUGCGAUUUUCAUGGUUGACGCUUUAUAAAAGAAACGUGAAUGAUAUUACCGCUUCAAUAUGCAUCACGACGGGGAGAAGCGAUGCAUCGGUCCCAGCUUGUGUUGACCAGCAUGCCCCGGACUGAAUGCAUAUAGAUGUUUGGCAGCUGUGUGGCUAUAGUGAUGGUUAUAACCGUCGUGUAGCAGACCUCGACGCUUUUUACUACAUAAUCGGUAAAAAAAAACACACAGUCGUCAAUAACACUGUGGUAAUUGAAAUACAUUUUUUUUAUAAUAGGCGACGUUUCGGGCAAUGGUCCUCCAUAGCACUUAAAACAAUAAUUUAUGGAAAUUAAAUGUACAUAUGUAUGUUGAACUUCUUUUGCAUCGUACAUAGCCAACCCUGAUAAUCGGAGGUGCGGGGGAAGGAAAACACACGAAACACAAAAAGGAGUUCGAAAAAAAACGAGUUUUCAAUCGAGAUUUAAAAGUACAUAGCUCUGGUGGCUUCCUAAUAUCGGAGAGAAGAACAUUCCAGACGGCCGCAGAAGCGCAUCAGAACGCGUGUGGUGCAGCGACCGUCUAUGAUACUAUGGACAAGGACUAUUGCCCGAAACGCCGAAUGAGAGUAUUUGUUGUGCAGUACUUCGAACGCAGCAGCAAAAUCACCAAAUAAUGUGUAAAACAAAGUCGGAUUGGUAUAACGGAUGCUUCUCAUAUUUGAUGUAUUUACAUCCCCGUGUGCAAGAGGGUGUCAAUUGUAUACGUGCAUAGCAACCCACGUAUCGUUCAUUCUUCAUUAUUUCGUUUACCUUGAAAGUUAAAUCAAGUUAAUGCAAUAUACAUAUAAUGGAGGGGGCGGGGGGGGGGAGUGGAGGAGCGGUGGUGCAGUGGUUAGCGCACCACGCCCGUUCGAUUCCCGGCCACGGCUAGCAGGGGUGGCGAUUGACAUCUGAACCGGUCCCGGGGCCUUUUCUUCCGACCCGAGUCUGGGCUGAGGGACCUCCCCUCGCCUCCCACUCACCCCAUAACCGGCACGAUGCGUGGGGGAGAGCCUUCAUCACUGCCCCCCGCUGGAUAGACACGGAGUUGUGCGCGUUUACAUAUAUACGUAUGGACAUCGACUUUCUCUUGUAGACAAUAGCGUUUAACGUACGUGGACAUAUCAUGGCAUUGACGUAUACAGCACGAGCGAUGUUUACGUGGAGACAUGUACGUAUGUAUUUUUUUCCCCAUGAAAUAGUCUGUAAGGCGUUAUUUUGUAAGCCUGCAGCGAAUGUUAAGGCAAUUGCAGUCGGCCGUGAUUGUGGAGGCACAGGCUGAAUAAAUCGUUGCCUAAAUGAAUACACACACACGUAUCAUUUAGCAAACAAAGUAUACAUGUGAUGUGUUUAUUGAAAUAUCAAAAGGGGUUAAAUAUAUUGUGCCGUUUUUGUGCCGUCAGUUAAUGAAUCCCUCAUUUAAGCAGCGGCGCUUAUUGAUGUAUUUAUUGGGCGAGUAAUGUUUUUGUUUUAUAAUGAUGGUGAUGAUAAUAAUAUAUACUCCUUCAGUAUUAUUUAACAUAGCCCUGCACAACCCUCCAUUCUAUUCGUGAAGGAGGCGUAUGACAGACAUUCGAUGAGUGGCCCACAGGUCUCAACUAUUGCCAGCUCAUCUUGGGGAAAAGCUGACACGAGAUUUAAACGUAGCGAGUGAAUUUGAGUACGAGUAGCACAAGCUCGCAACGCCUUCGUUCAGAGAAAACAUAUAUAACAGCAGAAAUUUCGGGAAACCGGCCCCCUUCAUAUAAAGCAGCGAUGUAUACAAAUAUAUCUAUAUAAAUAUACAUGUAUAUGUAUAUGAAGAAGGGGCGUUGACCGAAACGUUGCCUAUGUACACGUGUUUUUCCUCUUUGGCGGGGGAGUGUUAUUCACGCACGCGUUACGGUGUUUGUUAUUUGUGAUGUGCAGCGAUAGCAGACACGGAUUCGCAGCAAAGCGACCCAUGCUUCGGUUUGUAGCGUGGAAAAAUUGGCUUCUUCU